rnacentral:tRNA from 1 species
GCGGGCGUAGUUAAAUGGUAGAAAGAGAACGUCCCAAGCUCUAUACGAGGGUUCGAUUCCCUUCGCCCGCUCCA